CAGUCGCCGCGGGAAUACGUAGGGUGCGAGCGUUAAUCGGAAUUACUGGGCGUAAAGCGUGCGCAGGCGGUUUUGUAAGACAAGCGUGAAAUCCCCGGGCUCAACCUGGGAAUGGCGCUUGUGACUGCAAAGCUAGAGUGCGGCAGAGGGGGAUGGAAUUCCGCGUGUAGCAGUGAAAUGCGUAGAUAUGCGGAGGAACACCGAUGGCGAAGGCAAUCCCCUGGGCCUGCACUGACGCUCAUGCACGAAAGCGUGGGGAGCAAACAGGAUUAGAUACCCCCGUAGUCCCUGUCUCUUAUAA
rnacentral:rRNA from 1 species